GCCAGCUUGCCAUAUCACCCUGAAACUCACAACUGGCAACUUACUGAAGCUAAGCAGGUGUGAGCCUGGCCAGUACCUGGAUGGGAGACCUCCUUGGAAAAACUAAGGUUGCUGCUGGAA
rnacentral:rRNA from 1 species